ACUUAGGUCACUUAGGGUGUGAAUGUGAAAUGUCUCCCUCAGGCUGUUUCAACACCCGGCCCAAAACUGGGAGUUUUGCUCUUUUGGGGGGGGGGUGUGAAUCCCUUGGUAGGUAAAGGGUGGCCUGGCUGGAAGAGCUUCUCUCUGAAGGGCAGGUCUUGCUGCUGCUCGUAGAACACCCUGCUUCUAGCCUUCCUCUCUCUGCUUCCAAUAACGCAUGAGGCAGAGAAGGGUCCUAGCCGCACGCUCCCUCCAAUGUGGUGCCACCAGCUUCUAUGCCUUCCUCCAACCUGACCCUCAGGCUACAUGUCACACCAGCCCCUUCUACCUCAGUCACUUCUCAAAGGUGUUUUGUCUCAGCCACAAGGGGAGUGACGGGACCAGAGUCUCUACAAACCUGAACCGCAGCAAACACACAUGGAUCAACUGAAGCCACUGGUCAGGAGCCUUUCGAGCAAGCCUCUCUGGUUUACCGCGGUAUGGAGGAGCCAAGAGGGGCACCUUUUCUCAGAGACUAAAAUGAUGCUUGACAAUUUGUGGAGCAAGACUACAACAAUUUCUCAGCAAAGUUCCAUGCUGCCAAAUGGUCAGGAAAGUUUAAUUUUGUCGACGAAAGAGACUGAAAAGCAGUAACAAAGCCAAGAAGCCAAGGUACUACAUGAAGCCUACAGACAGGAACAACGGCAGAAACCAUUAUUUUCCUGGGUUUAUGUAAAAAGACAACCCAAGAAAGAGUCUCACAUGGAGGCACACACAAAACCAGCCUCCGACGCCGCUUUGAAGACAUCUUUUAAAUGAACGGUCUUGGUGUCCUACAGUUCAUCAAAGGUUUGCUGUCUCUGAAAGGGAAAUGCAGGUCCUGGCUGUGAUAUUAUUUGUGGAAAUAACUCCUCCCACAACUGGCAUUACAUGUCACACCAACAGUUGUGGUAACUUGGCAGACUUAGCACGACCACCAGGCUCACUCAGCAUUGAGUACUUCCCAAAACUCAGGCGCCUUCGCCUUCCAGCAGAUGGCCUGGCACCAUAGAGAUAACCCAUCGCUUAACAAUGCUUCCUUAACACCUGUACUCCCUGGCGAGAUCUCCUGCUCAUCACCUGCUUCUGACAGCCCCCUGCCUCAUUCCUCCCUGUCUAACAACCUCCAAUGUUCCUCUGCCCAUCCCAGGCCAUGCUCCCCUACAUAAGCUCCUAUGAAAAUUCUCAAUAAACAGAGCUUGAUUGUCUUGCUCUCAUUCAACGUG